rnacentral:rRNA from 1 species
UGGGGAAUAUUGCACAAUGGGCGCAAGCCUGAUGCAGCAACGCCGCGUGAACGAUGAAGGUCUUCGGAUCGUAAAGUUCUGUUGCAGGGGAAGAUAAUGACGGUACCCUGUGAGGAAGCCCCGGCUGACUACGUGCCAGCAGCCGCGGUAAUACGUAGGGGGCUAGCGUUAUCCGGAUUUACUGGGCGUAAAGGGUGCGUAGGUGGUCUUUCAAGUCGGUGGUUAAAGGCUACGGCUCAACCGUAGUUAGCCUCCGAAACUGGAAGACUUGAGUGCAGGAGAGGAAAGUGGAAUUCCCAGUGUAGCGGUGAAAUGCGUAGAUAUUGGGAGGAACACCAGUAGCGAAGGCGGCUUUCUGGACUGCAACUGACACUGAGGCACGAAAGCGUGGGUAGCAAACAGG